GGUAGCAUAAAAAUGGUACUGGAAACUGAAAGCCAAGAAAUCAGAAAAUGUCUGGUGGAGAAUAAUCAGGUUUUCUGAGUCACUAAUGUUAUUCGUGUUAUUGUGGCAGCCUGCAGUUUGAGACUUACAAUCACCACCUUUACAGAAAUCAAGGAGUCAGAUUCCUCCGUGUACAAAGUCUGAGGGCAAUCCUGCUUCUUUACUUCUGCCUUAAGAGACUCUUUAGCCUUCUGCACUUCUAUUCAGCCUGGUCUUCACAAGAAGUCCCAACUAGUUCUGUUCUCAUAGAGUUCUUUCUUUGGGGCCUGAUACCUGAAGACUGAGUUAUCUCUGUUGACAGUGUGUCACAACCACCAUCCAACUCAGCAGCCUGAAGUUGCUGAUAUCUGUCAGGGUGGUUUGGAAAUAUGAAGAGACAGUCCAGUGAUCAUGGAAAACGUGUGGUCAGAGAGAUCGGGAAGACCUAGCAGAAACAGGAAUGCUGUGUUCCAGGAUGUGCUUUGUCCUGGGACAGAGGAAAACUGUGGAGCAACAUUUUAGGGAUUUUGCUGUCCCUGGACAAAAGAAGUUUGGAUAAGUUUAUUAAGACAGUGUCUCUCCUGUGGCCUAGUAUAUAUCCUUCAGCACCCCCGAGGGUUCAGAGAAAUCAUAUUUACUUUUCAGAGUUACCACAUUUCCCCCCUCCCCUUUCUGAUGUGAACAGCAAGGUAUGUGAGGGCUUACUGGGAUCACUCCUUCCGCUGUGAUUUGCAGGACUAGUAAUGAGCUACUCUGUAUGAAAUGUGGUGUUGGAAAUAUGCAACUUCUGUGAUGAUAUAAACCCAAGGUUUAUUUCUUACUGCUUGUGUCUUCAACAGAUUGAAGCAAGUGACAUUUUAUUUUUAGAGGUGUACUGCUCUACUGCAGCUCUUUUGAAGUAGCGUUGAUGGUUUUCUUUCAUAGUUGCUGAAUAUGAGCACCUUUACAUUUAAGAAUGUGAUGUUCUGGUUUUGCAUUCUAAUAACAACUUUCAAAAUCUUUAGAGUUGUUUAGUUUAGUAGUACGUGCCUUUGUAAUCAGGCUCUGUGUGCCAUACCUUUUGAAAUAAAUUGCCUGAAGAGUUUUAAUAAAAUAAAACAGCCUGAAGGUAAUUGAUUUGCUGCAGGCUGGAGCAGGCCCAGUUAAUCUCAAUGGUCGAGUCAUCCCACAGCAACCAUUUCCACCUUAAUAAUCUCAAGCCUUCAAGUUCCUAAGUGUUCCAUGACUCUUGAUUUUGGCAAAAAUUGAAAAUAGGUUUCAGGAGUUAAAAAUCAGCAGGACAUAUCAUAUUGCUCUUUUUUCUAUGCCAGUUACACACGGAACUCCUUAACUAUCUGGAGCCUGUACAUUUCAAACACUCAGCCAGCAACAAUAGACUCCUUUGGUUACUAAAUUCAUGUCAAGGCUGCGUGAUAAAAAUCAAAUAUGAAAAAGAGCAGAUUGUGGAACUUUUUCUCUUGGAAAGCAGGUGGGAAAAUAGUAUGUAGUCUUCAAACAUUCAAACACUGUUCCUUUUAUGUUUUCAUUUAUAUUUAGUAUAUAAUAAGCACAGAUAAAUGUUUCGUGAAAUAUUAAACUGCUGCAGGUAAUUCACGUUGGAAGAAGGACCUGCGUGCUCAGGAGACUGGCUGGUUUAUGUAGCUAUAUAAGCUGGUCAAAUGGAAAAUGCUAUUCCUUCCUUGCUUGUUUUUGGACAUCAGUGUAACACAUGCCCUUUGCAACUAUCUCCCCAAAGCAUCUGGGGCUAGAAGGAUGAUUUUCCCUCAAUAAGCAAAGAAAUGUGGAGCCAAGAGUACCUGUAACACACAGGCUGUCAGUCCCACAGACUUGUUUUAUCCGACUAUACCAGCUUGUAUCUUUAUCCUCUAUUCUGGUAACAGCCUUCCUACUACCACAACGACAGCAAAGGCCGACCUGUUCUCAUAUGUUUGUUACCUUGGCAGCUGAAUUUGGACCAAAAUUACCUUCCUGUGCUAACAA